GUUUAAUUAGAUUUAUUUCAAUUAAUUUUGAUUUUGUUAGGGUUUGGUACCAGAUUUUUGUAAAAUUUUGUUUGAUUUUGGUUCAAGUCUUCCUUAACUGCUAAUGAAGUUGAUUUGUAUUUAAUUAAUAAUUUUGUUUGAUUUUGGUUCAUCGAUUUGUUUUUUUCUUCGAUUCUUCUUUCUUUGAUACAUAUUAUUCAUCGAUUUUUUUUGUUUCAAAAUUGUUGAAUAUGUUAAAGAUCUAUAUGAUUAAUUUUAUUAGCCAGUUAGGAUUAGAAAGUGAUAUAUAUACUCGAUUUUGUUAAAUUUCACACUGAUUCAGAUUUAUUUAUUAUUGCAUGCAAUCGAAACAAACCACAAUUGGUGUUGUCCAACAUUUUAUGGGUGUUGUUGGAGUUAAGAAAGGAGCAAACUAAUGAAGAUGCUCAUGAUAUUUUUCAUAGUCAAAGGAGAUGAACCUGUAGUCGGAGGAAGCAAGGUUGCAUAGCUAGUAAGAGAAUUACCAAGUGGAUAAAUAGUACAAAUACUUAUAUGGAGUAUAUAUAACAUUUAAGAGGGGAACAUAAGAGAUGUAGCCGUCUAAUGAGCGAAGAAGAAGUGGCUGCUAAAAUAAACAAGAAAGAGGUCAAGAUUGCGUUCCAUUUCUUAGUCUCAACUGAUGAAUGAAACUUCUGAAUAAACGUAUGUGAGUUUUGAUGAAAGCUAGAUUUUAGCACUCUUCACAUAAUGAUGUAAAUCUGCAAAAAAAGAUGAACGUUAAUUUAAAUAGAAACAAAUAAAUCUUUACUCUUUAUACAUUUUUAGUAUAUUAUUGUUCGAUGAA